GAAAGUGAAAAAGCCCACUACUCCCAAAGUAAGGAGUUAACGGCUAUAAAAGUACCCACUUAAUUCCCACGCUCCCACUUCCCCACUGCCCCCUGCCCUGCCUGCCCCCCGCUCGUCUCUUCUCCCUCUCUCCAAGUCUCUUAAAUAGUUGAUCAGAACUGAACUGGAAAAACCCUUCUCUCUUGGCUGUAUGUCUCUCUCUCUCUCUCUCUACAGAGCUCUUUCUCUCUCUCAAACUUUCUCUCUCUUAGCAGUUGGCAAUUGGCAUUAGUCUGUUAAUGAAACAAGGCAUUAGUGAGGAAGCAAGACACUGAGUUUCUCUCGUAGGUUGCUUGACCGGAAAGAAAAGCUUUCUCACAACCAAUUGAGUUCGUUUCUCGGAAAAUUUUCCAGGAAACGCGAAAGAAAAUCAAGAUGGAAAACAAUCCAAGAGAGAAAGCCUUGGUGUACGUACUCAGACAGUUACAAGGAGUGCAGCAUUUCAAGGAUGCUCAAGAGAAGUUACAGAAGAGCAUAUACAACAGAGGGUUUUUCCUCUGCAGAAAAGUUCGGGAAAAACUUGGUAGUUCAGACAAGUUCAUCGCGUUCCUAAAGCAACUGCACUUGUAUAGCAGCGGAGUUAUAGAUCUGACCGAGUUUCUGAAUCUGGUCGAUGAUGUACUUCGAGCGGAUCAAGAUCUUAUGAACGAGUUUGAUGCUUUCCUGGAGCACUGUGAGAAGGAGCAGAUGAAUUGGUCGCUUAGGAGUGAAAGCUGACUUUUGAACAGCUUUGUCAAUAGCUAGUUUCGUUCACCUUGCAGAAACUUGUUAGCUUAAUCUAGUUUUCCAUUCGUCUUUGUAUUAAUGUAUAUGGCAGGAACUAAUUUAGAUUCGUUUUUAGUGUGUUUAACGUAGAAUGUUAAAUUUGAGUUUGUCGCUUAAGUGAUUAAAAGCAGUUUAUCCU